rnacentral:rRNA from 1 species
UUGAAACCGACACAGGAGGACUGGUAGAGUAUACCAAGGCGCUUGAGAGAACUAUGCUGAAGGAACUCGGCAAUUUGCCUCCGUAACUUCGGGAUAAGGAGGCCUCAUGAGCGGGCAACCGUUUGUGAGGGGCACAAACUAGGGGGUGGCGACUGUUUAACAAAAACUCAGGGCUCUGCUAAGCCGCAAGGCGACGUAUAGGGUCUGACGCCUGCCCGGUGCCGGAAGGUUAAGAGGGGAGGUGCAAGCUUUGAAUUGAAGCCCCGGUAAACGGCGGCCGUAACUAUAACGGUCCUAAGGUAGCGAAAUUCCUUGUCGGGUAAGUUCCGACCUGCACGAAUGGCGUAACGAUCUCCCCGCUGUCUCCAGCAUAGACUCAGUGAAAUUGAAUUCCCCGUGAAGAUGCGGGGUACCUGCGCUUAGACGGAAAGACCCCGUGCACCUUUACUAUAACUUUACACUGGCAUUCGUGCUUGCAUGUGUAGGAUAGGUGGUAGGCUAUGAAGCAAGGGCGCCAGCCCGUGUGGAGCCAUCCUUGAAAUACCACCCUUACGAUCAUGGAUGUCUAACCGCGACCCGUCAUCCGGGCCCGGGACAGUGUAUGGCGGGUAGUUUGACUGGGGCGGUCGCCUCCCAAAGAGUAACGGAGGCGUGCGAAGGUGGGCUCAGACCGGUCGGAAAUCGGUCGUCGAGUGCAAUGGCAUAAGCCCGCCUGACUGCGAGACUGACAAGUCGAGCAGAGACGAAAGUCGGCCAUAGUGAUCCGGUGGUCCGUUGUGGAACGGCCAUCGCUCAACGAAUAAAAGGUACGCCGGGGAUAACAGGCUGAUGAUUCCCAAGAGUCCAUAUCGACGGAAUCGUUUGGCACCUCGAUGUCGACUCAUCACAUCCUGGGGCUGGAUAAGGUCCCAAGGGUUCGGCUGUUCGCCGAUUAAAGUGGUACGUGAGUUGGGUUCAAAACGUCGUGAGACAGUUUGGUCCCUAUCUGGCGUGGGCGUAGGAGAAUUGAGAGGAUCUGUCCUUAGUACGAGAGGACCGGGAUGGACGUACCUCUGGUGGACCUGUUGUGGCGCCAGCCGCAGUGCAGGGUAGCUAUGUACGGUCGGGAUAACCGCUGAAGGCAUCUAAGCGGGAAACCCACCUCAAGAUAAGUUCUCCCUUGAAAGCCGUGGUAGACCACCACGUUGAUAGGCCGGGUGUGGAAGCGGAGCGAUCCGUGCAGCUUACCGGUACUAAUAGCU